ACGAACGCUGGCGGCGUGCUUAACACAUGCAAGUCGAACGGUUAAGCGCCUUCCUUUUUGGUGGGUGUGGAUGAGUGGCGAACGGGUGAGUAACACGUGAGUAACCUGCCCCCUUCUUCUGGAUAACCGCAUGAAAGUGUGGCUAAUACGGGAUAUUCUGGGUCUGUCGCAUGAUGGGUCUGGGAAAGAUAUUGUUUCGGUGGGGGAUGGGCUCGCGGCCUAUCAGCUUGUUGGUGGGGUGAUGGCCUACCCAGGCGGUGACGGGUAGCCGGCCUGAGAGGGUGGACGGUCACACUGGGACUGAGACACGGCCCAGACUCCUACGGGAGGCAGCAGUGGGGAAUAUUGCACAAUGGGCGCAAGCCUGAUGCAGCGACGCCGCGUGAGGGAUGGAGGCCUUCGGGUUGUGAACCUCUUUCGCCAGUGAAGCAGGCCUGCCUCGUUUGUGGGUGGGUUGACGGUAGCUGGAUAAGAAGCGCCGGCUAACUACGUG
rnacentral:rRNA from 1 species